rnacentral:rRNA from 1 species
UACGUAGGAUGCAAGCGUUGUCCGGAAUUAUUGGGCGUAAAGCGAACGUAGGCGGCUUCUUAAGUUUGGUCUUAAAGACCAGGGCUCAACCCUGGGAAUGGACUGAAUACUGGGAGGCUCGAGGGUGUCAGAGGAAGGUGGAAUUCCGAGUGUAGCGGUGAAAUGCGUAGAUAUUCGGAGGAACACCGGUGGCGAAAGCGACCUUCUGGGGCAUUCCUGACGCUGAGGUUCGAAAGCUCGGGGAGCAAACAGG